rnacentral:rRNA from 1 species
CUCGAGCGGCGAACGGGUGAGUAACACGUGAGCAACCUGCCCUAGGCUUUGGGAUAACCCCGGGAAACCGGGGCUAAUACCGAAUAUUCACUGUUGGCCGCAUGGCUGGUGGUGGAAAGUUUUUCGGCUUGGGAUGGGCUCGCGGCCUAUCAGCUUGUUGGUGGGGUGAUGGCCUACCAAGGCGACGACGGGUAGCCGGCCUGAGAGGGCGACCGGCCACACUGGGACUGAGACACGGCCCAGACUCCUACGGGAGGCAGCAGUGGGGAAUAUUGCACAAUGGGCGGAAGCCUGAUGCAGCGACGCCGCGUGAGGGAUGACGGCCUUCGGGUUGUAAACCUCUUUCAGCAGGGACGAAGCGCAAGUGACGGUACCUGCAGAAGAAGCGCCGGCCAACUACGUGCCAGCAGCCGCGGUAAGACGUAGGGCGCGAGCGUUGUCCGGAUUUAUUGGGCGUAAAGAGCUCGUAGGCGGCUUGUCGCGUCGACUGUGAAAACCCGUGGCUCAACUGCGGGCCUGCAGUCGAUACGGGCAGGCUAGAGUUCGGUAGGGGAGACUGGAAUUCCUGGUGUAGCGGUGAAAUGCGCAGAUAUCAGGAGGAACACCGGUGGCGAAGGCGGGUCUCUGGGCC